rnacentral:rRNA from 1 species
CCUACGGAGGCAGCAGUGGGGAAUCUUGCGCAAUGGGCGAAAGCCUGACGCAGCCAUGCCGCGUGAAUGAUGAAGGUCUUAGGAUUGUAAAAUUCUUUCACCGAGGACGAUAAUGACGGUACUCGGAGAAGAAGCCCCGGCUAACUUCGUGCCAGCAGCCGCGGUAAUACGAAGGGGGCUAGCGUUGCUCGGAAUUACUGGGCGUAAAGGGAGCGUAGGCGGAUAGUUUAGUCAGAGGUGAAAGCCCAGGGCUCAACCUUGGAAUUGCCUUUGAUACUGGCUAUCUUGAGUACGGAAGAGGUAUGUGGAACUCCGAGUGUAGAGGCGAAAUUCGUAGAUAUUCGGAAGAACACCAGUGGCGAAGGCGACAUACUGGUCCGUUACUGACGCUGAGGCUCGAAAGCGUGGGGAGCAAACAGGAUUAGAUACCCUGGUAGUCCACGCUGUAAACGAUGAGUGCUAGUUGUCGGCGAUGCAUGCAUGUUCGGGUUGGACGGACGACGACUAACCGUACAAUUAAAGUACACCUCCGCCCGUCGGGGAGGUACGGUCGGCGAAGAAGUUAAAACUAACAAAUAGAAGUUAGUACGGCGUGAGACGUAGACCGAACGGACGACCGACGAGGGGAGGGUUAGGG